GUCGAACGAAUCCCAUCUGGGUAACUGGGUGGGGGAAGUGGCGAAAGGGGCAGUAAGGCGUGGGUAACCUACCCCGGGAUCGGGAAUAGCCUCCCUAACGGGAGGGUAAUACCGGAUGGCCUGACGAGGGGGCCUCCUCUGGUCACGAAAGCUCAGGCGUCCCGGGAGGGGCUCACGUGGUAUUAGCUAGUUGGUGAGGUAACGGCUCACCAAGGCCAAGAUGCCUAGCAGGUGUGAGAGCACGACCUGCGCCACUGGCACUGGGACACUGGCCAGACUCCUACGGGAGGCUGCAGUCGAGGAUCUUCGGCAAUGGGCGCAAGCCUGACCGAGCGACGCCGCGUGUGCGAUGAAGGCCUUCGGGUUGUAAAGCACUGUCGUGGGGGGGAAAGGCCCGCAAGGGUGUGAUCGACCCCAGGAGGAAGCACGGGCUAAGUUCGUGCCAGCAGCCGCGGUAAGACGAACCGUGCGAACGUUGUUCGGAAUCACUGGGCUUAAAGGGCGCGUAGGCGGGCCAUCAAGUCCGGGGUGAAAGCCCACGGCUCAACCGUGGAAGUGCCUCGGAUACUGGUGGCCUCGAGGGAGGUAGGGGCGUGCGGAACUUCCGGUGGAGCGGUGAAAUGCGUACAUAUCGGAAGGAACACCGGUGGCGAAAGCGGCGCGCUGGACCUCUGCUGACGCUGAGGCGCGAAAGCCAGGGGAGCAAACGGGAUUAGAUACCCCGGUAGUCCUGGCCCUAAACGAUGGGUACCAGGUAGUGGACUUACAUGGGUUCACUGCCGAAGCAAAAGUGUUAAGUACCCCGCCUGGGGAGUAUGGUCGCAAGGCUGAAACUCAAA
rnacentral:rRNA from 1 species